rnacentral:rRNA from 1 species
AACGAACGCUGGCGGCAGGCCUAACACAUGCAAGUCGAACGCCCCGCAAGGGGAGUGGCAAACGGGUGAGUAACACGUGGGAAUUUUCCUCAUAGUUCGGGAUAGCCUCGGGAAACUGGGAUUAAUACCGGAUACGGUCUACGGACGAAAGAUCUAUCGCUAUGAGAUAAGCCCGCGCCUGAUUAGCUAGUUGGUGAGGUAAUGGCUCACCAAGGCUACGAUCAGUAGCUGGUCUGAGAGGACGACCAGCCACACUGGGACUGAGAUACGGCCCAGACUCCUACGGGAGGCAGCAGUGGGGAAUAUUGGACAAUGGGCGCAAGCCUGAUCCAGCCAUGCCGCGUGAGUGAUGAAGGCCUUCGGGUUGUAAAGCUCUUUAGCAGGGGAAAAUAAUGAUGGUACCCUGAAAAUAAGCUCCGGCUAACUCCGUGCCAGCCGCCGCAGUAA